GCACAGUGUUGCUGCGACACAAGUAGCCAGUGUACCUGGCCCCCGCCAAGUACGCCAUCAGCUUCAGGUCGUCACGGUCGGCGUCCACGAAGCCCGUCACCGACAUGAUCUGUCAGGAAGUAAAGAAGCAGGUGUGUGCAGCGGCUGGUCAGGGAGGAGUCAACAGCACCCCCACACGCCUGGAUCACCUGCACGGAGGAGCUGCACCACCUGUACACACACACACACACACACCCAUGUGGAUGAACUUGACUGGCCUGCACAGAGUC